AUUUUUUUCUUAGUUUGUUUGUUUUUCAAACAGGGUCUCUGAAGCCUGUGCUUGCCUGAAACUCCCCAUGUAGCUUAGGCUGGCCUGAAACUCCCCAUGUAGCUUAGGCUAGCCUCCAACUAAUGAUUCUCCUGCUUUAGCCUCCCAAAUAUUAGGGUUACAGGAGUAUACCUGUCCCUGGCUGGUUCGAUUCUUAUUGACUCAUGGUCAGGGUGCCUCCCCAAAAAGACUGCUGUCGAACAUGAUGUGGCAGACAGGGGUCCAGGAAAAGGGAUAAGGAAGGGAGACAAGGUUGAGGACCCCAUAACCCUGCUUACUAAGAGUUAACUCCCAAGCCCUGGUGAAGCAGGGCUGUUCUCACCCCUAGAAAACCCCUAAAAACCAAAGUCAGCAGAAGUCAGUGGCCCUGGGAAGCAUUUUCCUCGUCCACUCCCUUCACAACCCAUGGGACUGUCACUCUUCCCGAUCAAAAUGACCUCUUCUCUGGGGUCAAGUAACCAUUUGGUGUCCCUCCUGGGGUUUGGGGUUGGGGAGCGGUGAUGUUUUAAAGCCAUUAACAACUGACAUCUGUUAAUUCUUACUUGUCUGCUUCUGUUUUGCUUUCAUUCACAUUGCUUUAUACGCCCGGCCCUGCCCGGAGAAGGGAAAAUCUCACCUCCCAGCAGAGAGGUAAGCUGGGAUAGAUGUUAAUAUUCUCACCCGCCCCUUGAAAACCAGUUCGUAUGCUGACCUGCCCCUUGGCGCCACCCUGCGUCCUGAGUAAAGCCUCAUUUUGGAGAAAGGCCCGCCUCCUUCCUCUCUUCUUCUUUUCCUCCCACGAGGUGUGCACCCUCGACUCCUCUCUCUUCUCUCCCUCUUUUCUAUCUUCUCUCCAUCUCUCUAUUAUAAUAAACCAUUUCCUCAUGGAUGCAGCGCCUGGGUUGUGCAUCUGCAGGGCAUGCUAGCAUGUUUCCCUGUAUGCGCGAUACCCUCAGGGUCCCUGUGCAAUAUAUUAUAGCAUUGGUGCUAGUGACGCAUUGGUGCUAGUGACUCAGCAGAGGCCCUCCUGGCGCAUUUCCCCUGCCCACCGGCAGUCUGAGACACACUAGGAGCCCUGGAACCUUCAACACUCACUUCAUCCAACACCGGCAUAAUCGAGAGACAUGUCAGCUCCUGGCAGCAUCCUGUAUCCCCUCCAAGAAGAUGGACAGCCACAGAAGAACUUCCACCCAGAAGCUCACGGCAAGGCCGGCCAUGCAGUGAGAAGCUGACAUCCUGUCCAGACUGUGAAUAAGAGGAACAAUGGGGGUCGAUUGUCCUCUCUGCCAAGACAGCUGUCUUACAGAUAUCUACAGGCUCCUGGGAAAAGUUCUGCUACUAUAUCAAGAAUCUGGUCUGAUGAGAACUAGCAAUCUCCAGAGCCUGUUUUGACCUCGCCCAUUUUCAAGCAGAUUUUGCAGUUUCCCUCCUCCUGCCUGGGCCAAGGGGCUCCCCAGACAUGCCAGCCCCUGCACCAGCUGGCGCCAGCUCCAAGGACACCAACUGGGAUGGAUGCACACCACCUCCAGAGAAAUGACAGAUGUGAUGGCUCCUGAACUCCUGAAGAACAUGUCAUCCCUCACUUCACUGCCGGUGCCACCUCUCCAGGCUCAGGCAGGCACCUGCCCAGCAACGCCUGAUUUUCCAAGAUGCCCCAAUAAAGGGCGUAUUCGCUCUCAUGUCUCACUUGUUCACCCUUGCCUCUUCUGUACACCAGGGCACUUCUCCGUCCAUUCUUUCUGGCAGUUGUCACUCUUCCCGUGGCUAGCCCAGCUCAUGAGGCCAAUGAUAACAAUCUAUUUUUUCUCCUAGCGACCUCACGGAACAGAUAUCCCCGUGCCUGAGAUCUCCAUACCUGAGAGCUCCACAAUGACAGCCAACUGUGCUUCUUCACUCCUGCCUCCCACCAUGCGUGACCCCGGCUUCCCCUCCCCACUUUGCCCCUUGUCAGCUUGAAGCAGUGUCGGGAAUUCAGCAUCCUUGUUCCUCCACUCGCUAUCCAUAACUCAACUUUUUAUAGUAAUCAAAACAGAAGAAUGUUAGUAUUCUGACCUGCCCCUUGGCGCCGCCCUGCAUCCUGACAUAAAAACCUCAUUUCGGGGUCCCUCCCCUUCCUCCCUCUCUUCUGCUUUUCCUCCCACGAGGUGUGCACUCCUUGACUCCCCUCUCUCUUCUCUCCCUCUUUCCUGUCUUCUCUUCAUCUCUCUAUUACAAUAAACCAUUUCUGCACGGAU